rnacentral:rRNA from 1 species
UACAGAGGUCUCGAGCGUUGUUCGGAUUCAUUUGGCGUAAAGGGUGCGUAGGUGGCGCUGUAAGUCAGGUGUGAAAUUUCGGAGCUUAACUCCGAAACUGCAUUUGAUACUGCGGUGCUUGAGGACUGGAGAGGAGACUGGAAUUUACGGUGUAGCAGUGAAAUGCGUAGAGAUCGUAAGGAAGACCAGUGGCGAAGGCGGGUCUCUGGACAGUUCCUGACACUGAGGCACGAAGGCCAGGGGAGCAAACGGG